rnacentral:rRNA from 1 species
UACAGAGGGGGCAAGCGUUGUUCGGAAUUACUGGGCGUAAAGGGCGCGUAGGCGGCCUGCUAAGUCGAACGUGAAAUCCCUGGGCUCAACCCAGGAACUGCGUCCGAUACUGGUUGGCUUGAAUCCGGGAGAGGGGACGUGGAAUUCCGAGGUGUAGCGGUGAAAUGCGUAGAUAUCGAGAGGAACACCGGUGGCGAAGGCGGCCUUCUGGACAGCCACUGACGCUGAGACGCGAAAGCGUGGGGAGCAAACAGG